GUGGAGCACGUGGCUGCCUAAAGGAGGCUGUGAUGGUGUAGGAAAGUUGUGCUGCAGCAGACUCCUUGCAGGAUAUGUGGCCCCACGAAGAGAGAGCAGCCCAUGCUGGAGCAGGUUUGCUGGGAAAACAGAGGGAUUCCUGGAGAGCCUCUGGCACUGAGCUGAUGGCCAGCCCAGCCCUGCCCCGGGACACCCCUGCCACAGGCAAGAGAAGGAAUUCUACUCAGUUAAGAGGGGAUGCAUUUUGCUGUGAAGGGAUUCCAGGGAUGCCAAGCCUGGAGAGGACAUCCUGGAAGUACAUUAAGAAAUCCAACUUGCACAGCUAAUUUCUGUCUGUACUUCAGCAAGUGGCAGGAUUUCUGCCGUGUUAGGUUUUCACUUGGUGCCCACUCAGGUUUCUUAUCAGCUGUAUGCCAGGGGCUGUGUGUGGAAUGCUCUUUUGCUGCUUCCUGGCCCCGAGCCAGCUCACUGUAGUUGAGCUGGCAGUGGCACUUCUGACUUUCUUAAAACACAGGGCUCUGCAGCUUGCAAGAAUGAUCUGAGGAUCAGAAUAAUUUGGAGCAGGUGUUUGAGCCUCUCUCCUCUUCUGUGCAACAGAAGGUGGAUGCAUUUUUCAUUCUGUGUGGAGACAAACCCUAGUGCUGAGGAUGACCAUCUGCCAGUGAACUCUUUCUUCCUGACCAUCAGCAAAAUGGGGUUUGUUUUACUGUGAGCACUGGUGAGGCUGAUGGGAUGUCCCACACUGACUUUGUGCUUAGUC